rnacentral:rRNA from 1 species
GACGAACGCUGGCGGCGUGCUUAACACAUGCAAGUCGAACGGAAAGGCCCUGCUUUUGUGGGGUGCUCGAGUGGCGAACGGGUGAGUAACACGUGAGUAACCUGCCCUUGACUUUGGGAUAACUUCAGGAAACUGGGGCUAAUACCGGAUUGGAGUUCCUGCUGCAUGGUGGGGGUUGGAAAGUUUCGGCGGUUGGGGAUGGACUCGCGGCUUAUCAGCUUGUUGGUGGGGUAGUGGCUUACCAAGGCUUUGACGGGUAGCCGGCCUGAGAGGGUGACCGGCCACAUUGGGACUGAGAUACGGCCCAGACUCCUACGGGAGGCAGCAGUGGGGAAUAUUGCACAAUGGGCGGAAGCCUGAUGCAGCAACGCCGCGUGCGGGAUGACGGCCUUCGGGUUGUAAACCGCUUUCGCCUGUGACGAAGCGUGAGUGACGGUAAUGGGUAAAGAAGCACCGGCUAACUACGUG